GUCAGCAUGGUAUAAUGGUUUGACUGCUGGACUAUGACUCUGGAGAUCAGGGUUCGAUUUCCAGCUCUGUCA